CUCACACACGCACACGGGCACACGCGCGCGCGCGCACACGCACACACACACACACACACACACACGCACGCACGCACGCACACACAUACAGAGCCAGCGCUAAGAGCCGUAGCUAGACUACAGUAAUUCCCCAGCAUGGGCGGCUUGAAACUGCUCGGGCUGAAUAGCAUUUGCUGUUCCGUCCCCGCGGCCGCCUCCCGCCGGCCCCGCGCGGCGCUGCCUCUCCUCCUCCUGGAAGUUGUGCUGACACAGGCUGCCUGCCGCACCAAGUUUGUCAACAGCCGCGCGCCCCGCGCGCUCCUCCCGCCGGCGGGAACGGGGCUACCGCCAGCUCCCCCCGGGGGUGGGCGACGUCCCUCAGCAAGGGGUGCGCCCCCAUCGGCCCCCGACAGUUGGCCAUCCUUUGAACAAAGAGAGGUGCUGAAAAUGUCCGCCCUUGCCUCUUGAAACUGAGCAGAACUGAGGAAUGCUGAAUAUAUGAACACGCAGGUACACACGUGUACGAGCAGGUAUGCCCACACCGUUACUGUCAGGCAGGCCGAAGACUUCAGUCGUUGCCUUCAGCUCACAUUGGACCAAGGUUGCUUGAAGUUGCUUCUGCAUAAUCUUAGUACAAUUGUGUUCUGGGGAAGAGGAGUUGGAGUUCCUAAACAAUUUGCAUAGCAUAUGCCGUGGGACACAGGUGGGACAUAAGUGACAAUGCUUCAGGACAAGUUUCCAGGACCCUACAACUGCUUCCACCGAAGUCGGUGACAAAGCUCCCAGAGAUCUCACAGGUUUGAGCUACAAGCAAAGACGCCAACAGUGACCGUACAAUCCUGUAUCUGACUGUCCAUACGUAAGCUCCAGAAGUUAACAGUCAUAUUCAUCUUGAUUUUUUGUACAAUAAAUCUGACAGAAGACAGAGAGGAGGUAAAUACUGGAACUAUCAAGAUGUAGCUCCUGUCAAUUCUCUCCUAUAAAGCGGUGAACGGUCACAGGGAGUACUGCCCCAUCUCACGGAGCAACUGUGAAGAUUCCUCUGAUGAUGUGAAAUGCUUUCUUUAUGAGAUGCCCCAAAAAGCAAUUAAUAAUUCAGACUUUCAAACAGGGUUUAAAUUCAGUACAGUAAAUAAGACCUGCAACAACAUAUUAGAGAAUGAGGAAAAGCAUAAAAAAUGUAUAGCUGCUCAUUAAAAGAACAUAAUCUAUUCUGUGCCCUGAAAAGGUGGGCAAGUACUAUAUGAUUCAGUUGUUAAUUACUAUACAGGAAUGCUGAUGUGUGAGGUGGACAAAUUAAAGCUUAAUUUUGUAUUUCGUGCCUUUUUAGUACUUGACUUUGCAAAUGUAAUAAUAUUCUUUUAACAUACUAUUUCAUGUGCAAUAUGUAUAAAUGCUGAUAGUUUUGCUAAUACAAAUAUUGCUCUUCAGAGGGCCACUUUACUAGUGGAAGGGUCACUUGAAGUCCUGGAUAAAUACCCAUUUUAUAAAACCAAAGAAAUAAUGAACAUAAAAGUACACUGAGAAAUAAGCCUGUGUAUUUGUUUUAAUCCCUCAGCAGUCUUCCUAAAAUACUAAAGGGCACUUCUCCUUAAUGAGGCCCAUACAGCCAAAAUUGCACCAAAGAUUCCAGAGAAAAGUUCAGCCAAAAUAAAACCAAAAAGAAUUUUCGGCUUGUUUCCAAAACAGUGUAAUUCAGGAUCUCACUUUAUAUAUUUUACCAAAAUCCCCUUUAAAAACAUACCUGGAAGUGUGAAAGGAUGCAAAAUUUUGAGGGAAGGUUUCUUUUUAGGGGGGAGAAGCUAAAAAGGCUAGAGGGGAGAAAUUGCUUAAAAACAUGUUUCUUUCCAAAAAGCAAAUUCUUACCUUAUCUGGAAACCAUCUAUUGCAACCUUUUAAUGCAAGAUCAGCACAAAUACAAAGCCAGAGAUAAUGCAAAGGUUAUGAGGCUGGUUUUGCUUCAUAUGGCAGUUUUUGGAAAGACAGAUGCAGUGAUUUUGUAUUUGCUUGAAAACUGUGGCUUUUACGACAAAUUAUGUUUUAAUUGCUUAAUAAACAACUGUACAGUAGCACUGAGCUCUGUGUAAAAAGUCUUAAGAUGUCCGAAUAUACUGGUAGUUGUUCAGGCGUAUAGUACGUACCCACUGCUCUGAGUGCUGACAUACACACUGUCCACAACCAUUUCAGGUAACCAGAACAACUUGUAGGCUUGUAGGAUAAUUCAUGCUGGAAGGGACCUCAGGAGGUCUCUAGUCCUACCUUCUGCCCAAAGCAGGGCGAGUUAUGAGAUCAGACCAGGUUGCUCAGGGCUUUUCUCAGUUGGGUCUUGAAAAUCUCCAAGGCUGGAGACCAGAGACUGGAGAACCUCUCCAGACAACCUGACUGUCCUCGUGAUGCAAAGUUUUUCCCGUUAUCUAAGCCAGAACUUCUCUCGUACCAGCCUACGCCUACUGUAUUUUUAAAAACCAUGUUUUAAUUGGAUUGCAAAUGUUAUAUCUGACUCCUCAUUGACAGCAUUUUAAGUAAAUAUGAAAUUUAAUCUGUAGCUGAAACUGACUGAUAUUAAAAGUGAUUUUAGUAUGGAGUGGUUACUUUGUAUGAUCAGAGCACUCAGAUUCCAAACAAAAUUGUAACACUAAAACAGAAAAAUCACUGGAUGAUAAAAUAUGUUUGUUAGCAUCGUAAAUGUAAAUGAUCAACAAUGCAGGUGUUCCCCAAUGAGAGUAAAACUCAGCAAAAUGCAUCUAAAUAAAAAACUAAACAAGCUCAGAUUUGUACAAACUUGUCCUGCACAUACUUUCCAGAAACAUAAUAUACAGCUGUGAUCAAAAGGAUCAUCUGCAGUUUCCAUAUGAUACCAUCACUUUAUGACUGGCAUUUAGUGUUAUAGCUCAUGGAUAUAAAGUUUGAAGAAUAUUAAUGAUAUUCCAUCUAAUGGCCCUGUGUUCUUUAUAUCCUCUGUCUCAGCAUGUCUACUUGGUGAGAGACUUUCUUCUUUCUAACAAGCUUCUCCCAGUACCGUCCAAAAGGUUUGUGACGUUAUUAGUUCACUGCGGCAGAAGACAUACCUGGCACUGAAGUGCUGAGUAAAUAAAUCAAAAAUAGAGCAUGGAAUGACUGGGAAGGAGGCAUUCCCUCAUACUACUGAACUUCCCUUACUCACCCAUCCCAUUAGGCAGCAGGUCAGGGCUAGAGUAAAGCACAUGUAGGACACGUAGGACAGUAAAGCUCUGUUUGUGGAGUAUGGGCUUUUUCCAAUGUGCAUUUCUCUGAGUAAAAUCUGUCUGAGUCAGAACAUGCCACUGUUUCAGGCUAUUUCAUUAUAAAGCUGCAGGGCAAAUGUUGUCUAAAACACAUAGUAUGACUUGACCACCUGUAGGCAGCUGCUAUCAAUGCUAUAGGCUUGUCUUAAAAAGACGACAUACAAACAGUGCAGCACAAAGGGAUCUGUGCUUACAAGAUGGAUACACGCUUCAGAGGUAAGACCAAGCGCCAAUAGAGUCACGAAGUUUAUGUUAAGCAUUGCACUGUAACCACAUGCCCUGGAAUGAAUUAUUGAGCUUCUUAAAUGGUCAUGCUAAUGUUUUUACUUAUGAGUUCCUACCUGUAGAGGUAUGGUCUCAUAAUUACUGUAAUUACAGGGCUUAUGAGUCUCAUCACUCAAAUCACCUUGCUCCCUCAAGACAUUCUCAAAAUUGCUGUCUGAUUCCCACACACUAAAAAGGUAAUUUUGGAGUAAAGUUUCCAUGCUGAAAAAACAACCCAAACAGUUAGAGGAAAGAAACAGGCAGCAAUGCCAUUCAACCCCCUAGACUCUCACAGACUUCCUUUCUGAUCCUUUGCCAUGCCGUCCCCACCAUCCACAGCUGAUGCAUUGAACCCCCCUACCUUGAGCAGGCACACCACAUCACCUACAGUUAGGUGCUCAUGAUAACCACAGUUAGAGUAGAUCUCAUACAUUACAUAGCGAAAUCUACUGUGCAUAUCCGUAGCUGGUGUUUGACUUAAUGUUAGACAAGAGAUGGUGAUGAACAAAUAUUGAUUUCUAAUGCCACUCUUGAUAUUUCUGAUAGCACCAGCUACAAUACUGAGAGCUGCAGCAAGGGUUGCACUGGCAAGUGUGCUCAGGAUUAAGGUUGUUUAAUAUUUCUUCAUUUUGAUUUUUUCCUUUAAAAUUGUAGAACCGUCGAAUCACAGAAUGCACAGAAUGGUUUGGGUUGGAAGAGACCUUUAGAGAUCAUCUAGUCCAGCCUGCCUGCAGUGAGCAGGGACAUCUUCAACUAGAUCAGGUUGCUCACAGCCCCAUCCAGCCUGGCCUUGAAUGUUUCUAGGGAUGGGGCAUCGACCACCUCUCUGGGCAACCUGGGCCAGGGUUUCACCGUCCUCACUGUAAAAAAUUUCUUCCUAAUAGCUAGUCUGAGCCUACCAUCUUUUACUUUAAAUCCAUUACCCCUUGUCCUAUCACUACAGGCCCUGCUAAAAAGUCUGUCCCCAUCUGUCUUCCAAGCUCUCUUUAAGUACUGGAAGGCAGCAAUAAGGCCUCCCCACAGCCUUCCCUUCUCCAGGCUGAACAACCCCCACUCUCAGCCUGUCCUCGAGGAGAGGUGCUCCAUCCUUCAGAUCAUCUUUGUGUCCCUCCUCUGGAUCCACUCCAACAGGUCCAUGCCCCUCCUGUGCUGGGGACACCACUGGGGCUGGAUGCAGCACUGCAGGGGGGUCGCACCAGAGCGGAGCAGAGGGGCAGAAUCCCCUCCCUCGCCCUGCUGCCCACGCUGCUGGGGAUGCAGCCCAGGAUACCAUUGGCCUUCUGGGCUGCAAGCACACAUUGUUGGCUCCUGUCCAGCUUUUCAUCCACCAGUACCCCCAAGUCCUUCUCUGCAGGGCUGCUCUCAAUCCCUUCAUCCCCCAGCAUCUAUUUGUACUGGGGGAUGCCCUGACUGAUGUGCAGGACCUUGCACAUGGCCUUGUUGAACCUCAUAAGGUUCUUACAGGCCCACCUCUCCAGGUUGUCUAGGUCUCCCUGAAUGACAUCCCAUCCUUCCGGCAUAUCAGUGCACCCCUCAGCUUGGUGUCACCUGCAAACUUGCUGAGGGUGCACUCAAUCCCACUGACCAUGUCACUGAUGAAGAUACUCAAUAGUAUUGGUCCCAGUAUGGACCACUGAGGGACCCCACUUGUUACCGGUUCCCACUUGGAUGCUGAGGCACUGACUGUAACUCUUCAGACUCAGCCAUCCAGGCAGUUGCCGAUCCACCUAAUGGUCCAUACUUCAAGCCCAUACCUCUCCAACUUAGCGACAAAGCCUGAGUCUAGUUAAGCAUCACGUAGAGGUAAGUAGUCCCCCUGGCUAUCAAGAGAAGUUAUCUGGAAUGCAAAAGAAAUCUUCUGUCCUACAGGGAACAGCUGUAUGUUUAAUUCUGAAAGUUCAGAAUUGCCUUAUGGCUAAACACGUGUGUGUGAAAUCUGAAAUUUGUAGGGAUGGUGGCUGUUUAGCCCCAAAAUACAUAAAAAAACCCCCAGGAGAAAAUGUAAAAAAGGAACAUUUAGAAAUGUAUCCUCUUUCCCAGUUCCAAAGAAUUAUAAAAAAGUAUUGUCUUUUGAAAGAAUACUGAGUAAA